rnacentral:rRNA from 1 species
UACGAAGGGGGCGAGCGUUGUUCGGAAUUACUGGGCGUAAAGGGCGCGUAGGCGGUGUGUCAAGUCAGGCGUGAAAGCCCCGGGCUCAACCUGGGAACGGCGCUUGAGACUGGCACGCUCGAGUUCGGGAGAGGAUGGUGGAAUUCCCAGUGUAGAGGUGAAAUUCGUAGAUAUUCGCAAGAGCACCAGUGGCGAAGGCGGCUCACUGGCCCGAUACUGACGCUGAGGCACGAAAGCGUGGGGAGCAAACAGG